rnacentral:lncRNA from 1 species
GGUGAUUCUGAUGCUGGCUAGUUUGAGAACCACUGCUGUGGUGGAGGUGCUCAGUGGGAUUGAGGUAAGAAGCACAGUAUGUUUUACCCACUUUACAACUUCAGAUGGUUCAGCCUUUGUUUUGCUCUUGAGUUCCUACUGCCUCCAUGUUUUGAAGUCCUUGGGGGUACAAGGGGAAGGGAGGACAUCUUGGGGGAUAGCAGCUCCCCUACUAAUAUUUUAUUGUGGCACUGUGGAGAUGUGCUCCAGGCCCUCCCCUUCCCCUCACUACUUUGACCACUUUCUUGCUCUGCCUUCCAGCCCUAGACUCCAAUAAAAUGUCACCAAGAAUGGAGUUGGGUGGAGGCUGAAGCUGGUUCGAGGGAUCCUGGCUUUGCUGCCCUCACCUUUCUCAUGACUUUUCCCUCAACCAGACAGCUAUUAAAAGAAACAACCCCAGGAAGUUUCUGCGAAGUGUUGGAGAUGGGGAGACUGUGGAGUUUGAUGUCGUGGAAGGAGAGAAGGUUUGGGAGCUGCUGUGGGGUGGAGUUGGCCAGCACUGUGGGAGGGUGGCCUGGAGGUGGUGGGCAGAGGCUUUGGCCCUCCUGGGACCAGCUCUGCCUCUGGCUGUGGUGGAAAUGGGGCUUGCACUCUCUCACCUGAUGUCGCUGAUUGCUAGAGCUGCUCUGGAACAUGUCCUAACGAACCCAUCCCUGUCACCAGCCAGUAACAUGUGGGUUUCUUCUCUUUAGUUCACCAAGCACUUCCAUGUCUGUUUUCUACACGGGACCCCAGCCCUAACAGGACCCUCAGUCAGUCCUCUGGAAUGAAGGAGGGACAGUGGCUCUCUCUAUCUCAUCCUGUCCUGUCUUUACACUCUGGGGGGAAUGUGGCAGUUAUUUCUAAGGACAAGUUGUUUCUUCUCAGAUGGGUACAAACUCCUUCUGCUGCCCCUCGGGGGAGGGGAAAGGAGUGGUUUUGAGGAGUAAUAGGGUAGAGGACUUGGGCCUGAAGAAGGGGGACACCAGUGAUCUGGCAGGUUUGUAAGUGCUGUGUGUGUUGUCAGGGCAAAUUCUGAUUGUUGCUUCUCUACCUCCCCAGGGUGCAGAAGCUGCUAAUGUAACUGGGCCUGGGGGGGUGCCAGUGAAGGGCAGCCGCUAUGCCCCCAAUCGACGUAGGUUCCGUAGAUUCAUUCCUCGGCCUCGCCCGGCUGCCCCACCACCCAUGGUGGCAGAGGCUCCCUCAGGUGGGACAGAACCUGGCAGCGAAGGGGAACGGGCAGAGGACUCGGGGCAGCGACCUAGACGACGGCGCCCACCUCCCUUCUUCUAUCGAAGGCGGUUUGUGCGAGGCCCUCGGCCCCCCAACCAGCAACAGCCCAUAGAGGGCUCCGAUGGGGUAGAACCCAAGGAGACAACCCCAUUGGAGGGUGACCAACAGCAGGGAGAUGAACGGGUACCCCCACCCAGAUUCCG